UGGCGCGCCCGGCAGAGAUCGAAUCCACAACCUUCUGGUCCGUAGCCAGACGCUCUAUCCAAUUGAGCUACGGGCGC
rnacentral:tRNA from 1 species